rnacentral:rRNA from 1 species
GCCCAUUAGCUAGCCCCACCCUCCAACCGCAACACACCAACCUAAAUAAACCCAAACACACGAGACUAAAUUAAACCAAACCAUUUUCCCCUCUUAGUAUAGGUGACAGAAAAGAACCCUCGGAGCAAUAGAAAAAGUACCGCAAGGGAACGCUGAAAGAGAGAUGAAAAAGACCAGUAAAGCCUAAAGAAGCAGAGAUUACCCCU